AAAAAGGGCUCCCACCGCACGUGGUGCCUAUCCCUCCGGGGAGCGGGCGGAAUGGCUAUCAAGACAUUCCGGGGGCGUAAUCUUUGUCACUGGGGCAGCCGAUCAACCCGGUUGGCGCCCCG
rfam:Clonorchis sinensis DNA, scaffold: 424, strain: Henan.